GACGAACGCUGGCGGCGUGCCUAAUACAUGCAAGUCGAACGCAGUGGGGACGGGUGAGUAACACGUGGGUAACCUCCCAUCAGAGGGGAUAACACUUGGAAACAGGUGCUAAACCGAUACUGAUGGAUGGACCCGCGGUGCAUUAGCUAGUUGGUGAGGUAACGGCUCACCAAGGCCACGAUGCAUAGCCGCCUUGAGAGUGGUAUCGUCCACCCGGGGACUGAGACCGGACCCAUACUCCUCCGGGGGGCAGCGGUAGGGAAUCUUCGGCAAUGUACGAAAGUCUGACCGAGCAACGCCGCGUGAGUGAAGAAGGUUUUCGGAUCGUAAAACUCUGUUGUUAGAGAAGCGGUAUCUAACCAGAAAGCCACGGCUAACUACGUGCCAGCAGCCGCGGUAAUAC
rnacentral:rRNA from 1 species